UACGUAGGGUGCGAGCGUUAAUCGGAAUUACUGGGCGUAAAGCGUGCGCAGGCGGCUAUGAAAGACAGGCGUGAAAUCCCCGGGCUUAACCUGGGAACUGCGCUUGUGACUCCAUGGCUCGAGUACGGCAGAGGGGGGUGGAAUUCCACGUGUAGCAGUGAAAUGCGUAGAGAUGUGGAGGAACACCGAUGGCGAAGGCAGCCCCCUGGGCCAGUACUGACGCUCAUGCACGAAAGCGUGGGGAGCAAACAGG
rnacentral:rRNA from 1 species